CCAUCGUCUCUGCUGAGCCACCCAGGGGUAAACAUGGGUGGCACGUGGCAUUUAGUGAAAAGCGACUUCGGGGAAGCCCCUGGGGUCCAGCUGGACACCAUGCCCAGCCACAGUGGCCGCUGUGUACAGGGGCAAGGCAGCAUGGUGCCAGGGGGGAUGUCUCUGUGGAGGGAAAGUGGAUUAAGUGCUCCGCUCAGGCCACUGAGCACGCCAGCCCAGACAUGGAACGCCGGCAUCUGCCGAGUUCACUGAACAUCAGCACAGAUUGUGUUUUGGCAGUUGAGGUAACGGCUGGCGGGAGGCGGGGAAUCUGUGAGCGGCAGUGCAAACUAAUGAUGUGUAAUGAUCGAGGCGCUUGGCUCCGACGCCAGGGGCUGGGACGGGCAGCUGCGUGUGUACAGCGUGUGCCUUAAAGAUUUCCCUCCAGCGUUUACAGGGACCUCCACGUAUGGCGUGUGUGUGCAUCGGGGAAGGGUUGAGAUUUUUCACCUGUUUUCAAACUUCUACUUUAUUGAUGAAAGCAUCGCCUCCUCGUCUCAGCUUCUUCAAGACUGCAUGGCAAAAUCCAGAAAGAAAAAGGGCCCAAAGUUGAUGACUCACCCGAACUCGCCAGAGCAGCCUGUGAACCACUCUGGCCCAUGAUAGAUCAGAGGCUCUGUGAGAUACAAAACACGGUUGAGCCUUUUGCUGCACCCUGGAACAGAGCAAGGCACACAACAGGAAAUCAGUGCACAAUGCUAGUUGGUAAACCAAUUAAAAAAAAGACUGAUUGCCUUUUUUACAACUACCUCUCUUUUAUGGCUUAUAUCUAGAUGUUCCCCCAAAGCUUCGUGCACUCAUAAGUGGGGAAUUGGGGAGAUUGCUGGAUAAUGGAUGAGUGAUGUUGGACUAGCCCACUGAUUGGUUUAGCAUAGUUUGGAUAUGGAUGGUGGAUUUACUGAAAAGGUUAGUGGGUGGCGUCAACCAAUAGACUUGUAGCCAGUGGAAUAAAGAGAGAAAAAAGGAAGGCUCGCUGCUUCCUGCCUGACACACUAUGGACUGUUUCUCCUCUGUGAUGCCCCCUUGCCAUGCUGCCCUACCUUGGAGCCAGCUGACUAUGGACUGAAACCUCUACAAACUGUGAGCUAAAAUAAACCUUUCCUCCUCUAACUUGUGGGUGUUGGGUAUUUUGUCCCAGCAACAAGAAAGUAACUGACACUAUUAUGCACUCUUUAGGAAACAAGGAAUUAUUCUGCUUUGAUGUUUUUGUGCUAGAUAUGCCAUCUCCCCACUAUUCAGGGGCUAUUCUACUUACUGGCUCCCAGGUUCCCAUCGAGUUUGGACUUUGGAAAAUGAUAUUGUCUUCUCUAUGACCAUGUCCUAUCUUGCCCGGUGUUGACUGGCCAUUUAUUUUCAUUAUCUUUCUUUUGGUCAUUCUUUUGUGCAUCUGUUUACGCCAUGCAUAUGUGAACUCCUUCAAGAAACAUCAAAGGACAAUGAAGAAAAGUGGACAUACAUUGAAUCAGCAAAUAGAGAAACGCUCCAAGGCUAGAAUAUGGGCCCCAGCUGCCGGGGCUACUGUACUAAUGAAUUUGUGUGUUAGUGAUGGUUUGUCCUUCCUGAAAAACUACAUCAAAGCUUUAAAACUCAUGUCAUUGUGAGCCAUCAUUGAUUAAUUUAAGAAACCAGUUCUGAAGUGAUAUAGUUUCAGAAUGUGGAUACUGAGCUCCCAUGUCCAAUGAACCACCCACCAUCAUAACCAGUCUCGUGGGUGUGUAGUUCCUGUCCACUUAUUCUAUAAAAGAUAAUGUAGAACAGAAAAGUCACUUAGGAGCUUCCAAUAUGAUAGUCCCUAGCCGGGGACUUAGUUCAGUGGUUCAACUGCCUGCCUCACAAUAGUCGCUGCCCACCUCCAGCUUCUCAGUGAUCUGCCUAUGCCAGCUUCAUCACAGAAGAAAUAAACCCAGUUUAGAUCGAAGACAUUCCCCCAUAUUCUCACGUGUUUGAAAGAUAACUGGAUAAUAGGGUUGCUUGUUUGUCUGUUGAUGUGUCCUUUGAUGCAUUCAGUAGCUAAACGUGCUGUUAGGAGGUAGGGCUUGGUUGGAGGUGUACUCUUGUCCCCAGUGCCUCCCUCCUCCCUUGGCUUUCUGGCGGCCAUGGGGUGAGCAGCUUUUCUGUGCCCAGGACCUUCCACAAUGCCAUUUCUGCUUUGGACCAGCCAACCAUGCAACCAUGAGCCAAAAUACAUUUCCCCACCUUUAAAUUGUGGGUGUUGGGUAUUUUGUCUAGCGAUUGGAAAGUGACCAAGACAGUCAGUGGACCACUGAGAGAUGAAGUGAUACCUCCUCGGCACAUGUAAUAUCCUAAACAGGACACGGGGGCAAUGUUAGGAACUGCAAAUCUGGGCCUUUGGUGGUUCCCCACCCCACAGACAUUCAGGAAAUCGAUUCAGUAAAGUACCUGUAUACCGCUGGCCUUUCAUGGCAGCUCCUUGCCCUCUGCCUGGGAGGUGUAGUCUUCUUCUGCCCUUGGUUCCCAGGCACCACACCAUGGUGGAACUCGUGGGAGUGGAAGAUGACAAUGGUGCGGCUUCCCAACUAACUGCAGUGCCUCUCUGGCUUCCUGCUCUCACUCUGCUGUGGCCAUGGUGGCCAUCGCUCGGGCACUCCCCAACAGAAGCACAUCAGGUUUCUGACACGCUUCUCAUCAUUAUUUAAGAAAGGGUUCCGAAGGUGGACACCAUAUCGAGUUAGAUUUACUUAGGGUUUCUCUAACCCACUAAUCUACCCACUAAUCUCUACUCAUCCAUCCACCCGUGUCUACUUUGAAAUUCAGCAUGGGCAUAUUGUAAAUUAACCUUUGUGAAAACAAACCUUUAUUAUUUCAAACUCAAAGGAAAAUGCGAGCUGUGAAUUUAAAUUGUGGCAUGAGUGUACGUUCAGAUUUUUCUGCUUAAUGUUUGGUCAAAUAAGGUAAAGAUGCUGUCGAAUUUCAAAUGCCUAAGACAAUAGAACAAUUUCAUGAAGAACUGUCACAUGUGACAAAGGCCAGUGAACUGUGAUUUCCUGUUAAAGAAAAAUUCAAAAAACUUUCUGAAAAGUAGUUUCAGAAGCUAGUCAUGGGUAAUUUGUUUUAUCUUUAACAAAUCCAAGAAUGGAAAAUAUAUAUGAUCAUCCUUUAGAAGAUGAAAAAGAAUCUGAUAAAAUUCAGUAUUUAAAACUUAAUAAAAAUAGGAUUAAAAGACUUUUCUUAGUAUGGUAGGAUACAUCUGACUUGGCCUCAAAAACAAUUAUCAAGUGAAACUAGAUAAUAAAAUCUCGUACGGCAGGGUGUAAGUUAAUAUGAAGAGAUCUAUAGCUUUAGAGGAUUACCCCACAUUUAAUUAGCACUAAGUAAAUAGAAACAAACUUAACAAGAAAGUUAAGGUCUAUAUGAGAAAUAUUUUUAAAAUG
rnacentral:lncRNA from 1 species